rnacentral:antisense_RNA from 2 species
AUUUGUUUUAAAGCUUCAGCUCCUUUUUCACCAGUUUGUUUAACAAAUUCACCGUAAUACGGUUCCAUCGCAGCUUUAAAUGGAGCGAGAUCCGGAUGAGUUACGGUCAUACCUUGU